rnacentral:sRNA from 1 species
AGGAUUAAAAAUGAUUAAAUUAAAUCAAACUAACAAUCUUAAUCUAAGAAAUGUAUCUAACAUAAGAUGUUUUUGCUUAGCUAAGAUGUGUCUAUGUGUCACUUCCUAAUUGGUUUAAGAAAUGAACAAUAGGGAAAACAAAAAAAAAAUGCAAAAUUAAUUUUCUAUCCUUAAGAUACAAUUGAAUCUUAACCAUUGGAGAUCAUUUUUGUUAAGAUACUUAACUUUUAGUCUUAGCUUUCAAAAGGCAAAAUUUUAUUUUUAAAUAAUGCUAAGAUUCAAAAUUAAGAACUAAUUGAUUCUUAACCAUUGAGGAUGCUCUUACCUAUUAAAAUUUCCAAAAAAUAGAAAUAAAAUAUUGGUGAGGGUCAAUAGGUGGCUCUCACCAUUGGAGAUGCUAAAUAGCUACUUAACGUAAGGCCCACCAAACCACCAUCAUGUGCUUCUUUUCUAUUUUUUAUUUUUUUUAUUGAUAUUUGUUAUUGGACCACCAUGUGUUUAUAGUGCCUCAUCAAUAUCCCACACACAAUAUGAUGCCUAUAUAUAUAUGGGUAAAUUAUAUACAGUAGCCAUUGACCCACUUUUAUUUUCAAAUUUUGACACUGUGGGCGGGACCUUUCAAUUCUUAGCCUUUCAGCCAAAAACUGACCAAAAUGCCCCUGACGAAACUGAACCAGGUUUGUACCUACGGACUGCAUCGUUGGAAUCCAAUUGAAGCAUACACUGUUCACCGACGGGAAGUGCAUAAAAUAUUUUCUGGGUUUCGGCGAAUUUGACAUUAUAGCUUGGAAUUAAAAUUUUAAAAAAAUUUGUUGGGCUCAGAUGUUUUAAAUGCUAAAAAGUUUUGACAAGACAAAAAAUCAUGAUUACCUAUUAUAAUAGAGAUUAUAUUAUAAGAUAUUUACAUAAUUAAGAUUAGAAUUCUGGGAAAAAAAACGAAUCCAAAUUGUGUUACGGUGAAGAAUCUGAAGUUUUUAGUUGCUGUUUUACAAAGUUUGAAGGUUUGAAGGGGAGACAAUCUGUGAUCUGGGUAAGAAAUUCGUGUUAAUCUUAUUAAUUACACUUGAGAACGUGAUAUGAAAGUAAUGAUCCGUUUUA